GUUGGUACCUUUGUGGUUUGAGCGUCGGACUAAAACUCUGGGGACCAGGGUUCGAAUCCCUAUGGAAACC